AUGAAUGUGUUGGAGUGGGGGUGGAAUGAUGAGGCGUGGAAGUGGUAUAGGAGAUUGCUUGGUUUGGAGGAGGAGUUAGUGGGGGAGUGUAUUGAGAGGUUAACCUCAAUUGUUUUGCAGAGUGUAGCCUCAGCAGCAGCAGCCAUUGUUUAUUUAGCUCACUAUGGAAAUCCAAAUACUACUUGGUUUCCUUUCGGUCAACAAUACAACUACUUCUACGGGCGCAUUUCGGGUUCGCUUAUCGGCUCUUUCAUUCGUAGUGAGUACUUGUUAGCUUAG